rnacentral:rRNA from 1 species
ACAGAAGAAGCACCGGCUAACUCCGUGCCAGCAGCCGCGGUAAUACGGAGGGUGCGAGCGUUAAUCGGAAUGACUGGGCGUAAAGGGCAUGUAGGUGGGUCAUUAAGUUAGGUGUGAAAUCCCCGGGCUCAACCUGGGAACAGCACUUAAAACUGGUGGUCUAGAGUAUUGUAGAGGAAGGUAGAAUUCCAUGUGUAGCGGUGAAAUGCGUAGAGAUGUGGAGGAAUACCGGUGGCGAAGGCGGCCUUCUGGACAAAUACUGACGCUGAGAUGCGAAAGCGUGGGGAGCAAACAGGAUUAGAUACCCUGGUAGUCCACGCUGUAAACGAUGUCGAUUUGGAGUUUGGUGGCAUGACUGCUGGGCUCCGAAGCUAACGCGUUAAAUCGACCGCCUGGGGAGUACGGCCGCAAGGUUAAAACUCAAAUGAAUUGACGGGGGGCCGCACAAGCGGUGGAGCAUGUGGUUUAAUUCGAUGCAACGCGAAGAACCUUACCUGGUCUUGACAUCCACCGAAUUUUGUAGAGAUACGAAAGUGCCUUCGGGAACUGUGAGACAGGUGCUGCAUGGCUGUCGUCAGCUCGUGUUGUGAAAUGUUGGGUUAAGUCCCGCAACGAGCGCAACCCUUAUCCUUUGUUGCCAUCGGUUAGG